CCCAGACUCCUACGGGAGGCAGCAGUGGGGGAUAUUGCACAAUGGGGGAAACCCUGAUGCAGCGACGCCGCGUGUGGGAAGACGGUCCUCUGGAUUGUAAACCACUGUCCCCAGGGACGAAGAUGACGGUACCUGGGGAGGAAGCUCCGGCUAACUACGUGCCAGCAGCCGCGGUAAUACGUAGGGGGCAAGCGUUAUCCGGAUUUACUGGGUGUAAAGGGAGCGUAGACGGUUAUGUAAGUCUGGAGUGAAAGCCCGGGGCCCAACCCCGGGACUGCUUUGGAAACUGUGUAACUAGAGUACAGGAGGGGCAGGCGGAAUUCCUGGUGUAGCGGUGAAAUGCGUAGAUAUCAGGAGGAACACCGGCGGCGAAGGCGGCCUGCUGGACUGAAACUGACGUUGAGGCUCGAAAGCGUGGGGAGCAAACAGGAUUAGAUACCCCCGUA
rnacentral:rRNA from 1 species